rnacentral:rRNA from 1 species
AACAGGAUUAGAUACCCUGGUAGUCCACGCUGUAAACGAUGUCGACUUGGAGGUUGUUCCCUUGAGGAGUGGCUUCCGGAGCUAACGCGUUAAGUCGACCGCCUGGGGAGUACGGCCGCAAGGUUAAAACUCAAAUGAAUUGACGGGGGCCCGCACAAGCGGUGGAGCAUGUGGUUUAAUUCGAUGCAACGCGAAGAACCCUACCUACUCUUGACAUCCAGAGAACUUAGCAGAGAUGCUUUGGUGCCUUCGGGAACUCUGAGACAGGUGCUGCAUGGCUGUCGUCAGCUCGUGUUGUGAAAUGUUGGGUUAAGUCCCGCAACGAGCGCAACCCUUAUCCUUUGUUGCCAGCACGUAAUGGUGGGAACUCAAAGGAGACUGCCGGUGAUAAACCGGAGGAAGGUGGGGAUGACGUCAAGUCAUCAUGGCCCUUACGAGUAGGGCUACACACGUGCUACAAUGGCAUAUACAAAGAGAAGCGAACUCGCGAGAGCAAGCGGACCUCAUAAAGUAUGUCGUAGUCCGGAUUGGAGUCUGCAACUCGACUCCAUGAAGUCGGAAUCGCUAGUAAUCGUAGAUCAGAAUGCUACGGUGAAUACGUUCCCGGGCCUUGUACACACCGCCCGUCACACCAUGGGAGUGGGUUGCAAAAGAAGUAGGUAGCUUAACCUUCGGGAGGGCGCUUACCACUUUGUGAUUCAUGACUGGGGUGAAGUCGUAACAAGGUAACC